rnacentral:rRNA from 1 species
GAUGAACGCUGGCGGCGUGCUUAAUACAUGCAAGUCGAGCGAACGGACGAGAAGCUUUCUUCUCUGGUGUUAGCGGCGGACGGGUGAGUAGCGCGUGGAUAACCCACCUCUAAGACUGAGAUCACUGCGAGAAUCCGGAGCAAACACCAGAUAAUAUUUUGAACCGAAUGGUUUAAAAGUUAAAGACGGUUUUGCUGUCACUUAUAGAUGGAUCCGCGCUGCAUUAGCUAGUUGGUAAGGUAACGGCUUACCAUGGCAACGACGCAUAGCCGAAGUGAGAGGGGGGUCGGCCACACUAGAACUGAGACGCGGUCCAGACUACUACGGGACGCAGCAGAAGGGAAUGUUCCGCAGUGGGCGGGAGCAUGGCGGAACAACGCCGAGUGAGUGAUGAAGGUCUUCGGAUCGUAAUACUCUGUUAUUAGGGAAGAACAUAUGUGUAAGUAACUGUGCACAUCUUGACGGUACCUAAUCAGAAAGCAACGGCUAACUACGUG